AUGGCACUGCUCUUCCCGCCCCCGGCCCUCUCACCCAAACCCCCCUUCCCAUCCACCCUCCGAUCGACGCGGCCGCGGCGCGCCACCUGCAUCAGCAGCGUCUCCUCCCCUCGCCCUCCCGCUUCGGCGCCCUCCCCGUCCACCUCCUCGCCGUACGAGGCGCCGGCGCUAGACGGCGGCACGGAGAUAAGGAAGAAUAAGAAGAGGAGGAACCUGAAGCCGAGCUUCGAGGAGCAGGCCCUCCGCCGCUGGUCCGUGAGGGCGCCCUCCCAGCGCGCCUCCUUCCCCUGGCAGCGGCAGCAGCCGCAGCCGGCUCACCGAGAAGACGAGCGCGCGGAGGAUCAUGAGCCCAGUAGCGCCACGCUGCGGUCCAUCGUCGAGUACUUCGACUACGACUCCUCGGAGGAUGGCGGCGGCGGUGUCGGAGAGGGCAAGGACAAGGGCAAUGACGGCGUGGCACACGGCGAGGCGGCCCAGGACCGGGAUGAAGAGUCGCGUCCCCAACCGAACUACCUGCUCGGGACCCGGCCGUUCUCCGCGCCGUGGAUGCACGGGCAAGAAGGACCCACCGUCGUCGACGGGCCGCUCUCGGGUCCGGUGGGUGGAGACGAGGAAGAGGCUGUCAGGAGUGGUGUGUUCGAUGAUGAGCUAGAUUCGGAGGAUGAAGACGAAGAAUGGGUGGACAACAGUGAGGUAUUGGAAGAAGAGCCAAUGGCAGUGAACUUAGAAGAGGAAUUGUAUGAGGAUGAGGAUCCUGCUGCGCCGACAGCAAGUUCUUCUUUUCCGCUGGACUCUAUACUGGAGGACCAAAGUUCCACAGGCAGUGGGUUCGACAGGAGUAUUAGGCGAAGCAGUGUAAGCUCAAUUGUCAACACACUCAGGAAUUCGAUGGAGGAAAGUGCCACAAUUGGGAGCUCCGAAGGGGAAGAUUUUGUCCAGAAGCUGGGUUCUGUGCUCCUCCCAUGGGAGAGGGAGGAGGGGAAUGCGUUCGAUGGUGACAAGCGAGGGAGGCAUAGCAACACCAAGUUGGCAGAGAGGACUAUACCAGAACCAGAGCUGCGGAGGCUUAGAGACGCGGCAUUGAGGAUGAAGGAGAGGAUGAGGGUUGGUCCAGGAGGGGUUACACAUGCCAUUGUGGAGAACAUCCACAGUAAAUGGAAGGUGGACGAGGUGGUCAAGAUGAGGUUUGAAGGGCCUCCGAGCCUGAACAUGAAGAGAACCCAUGAGAUACUAGAGGACAGGACUGGAGGAACUGUGAUAUGGAGGUCAGGGAGGUCGAUUGUCUUAUACCGAGGAAUGAACUACAACCUUCGAUGCGUGCAGUCAUAUGCCAAAAUUGCGGAAGUUGAUUCAUCCGAAAAUGCUGGCGAUGCCAUUGGUGUUGUACCCAGCUCUGAAGAGCAUGACUUGCAAAAGCCAACUGUUGAGCAUGAUUUGCAAAAGCCAGUUGUUGAGCGUAAUUCGCAAAAGUCAAGUGCAGAGGAUGUGAAAAGAUCGACAUCUGUCAUGAAUUUCUCUCAAGAAGCUACGGAAACGUUUGAUAUCGAUAGCUUCUUGGAUCAGUUGGGACCACGCUACAAGGAUUGGUCUGGUCGCAGCCCCGUCCCUGUGGAUGCUGACUUGCUUCCUGGUUUAGUUCCAGGGUACAAGCCACCAUUUAGGCAACUUCCUUAUAGGACUAAAAUUAGUUUGAAAGAUAAGGAAAUGACAGCUUUGCGUAGACUUGCUAGACAAACUGCUCCACAUUUCGCUCUAGGGAGAAACAGGGAACACCAAGGCUUAGCUGCUGCUAUUGUUAAAGUAUGGGAGAAAAGUUCUAUUGUAAAGAUUGCCAUCAAGAGGGGGGUGCCAAACACAUGCAACGAUAGAAUGGCGGAGGAAAUCAAGAAAUUGACAGGAGGAGUACUUGUUUCGAGGAACAAGGAGUAUAUUAAUUUCUAUAGGGGAAAUGACUUCGUGACUCCUAAAGUAAGGAAGGUCUUGGUGGAACAGCAACAACACGCAAUUACUCAGCAGGAACAGGAAGAGCUGGCCAGGCUUAAAGCAUCAGCCUCAAUUACUCCCAUCCCCAAAGCAUUAAAGAAUCCUCUAGUUGCUGGCACUCUUGCAGAAACUAGAGAAGCCACAUCUCGAUGGGGAGAUUCACUUAAUGACGAGCUGAGGAAAAAGGAGAAUAAUCGUUUGAUUUUGGCCAAACAUACCUCUCUUUUGAAGAACAUGAAGAGAAAACUGAUUUUGGCGAAAACAAAGGUUGCAAAAGCAGAGAUGGCUUUGGCGAAAGUUCAGGAAUAUCUCUCUCCAGCAGAGCUUCCAACGGAUCUGGAAACUAUUACAGACGAGGAGCGUUUCCUAUUCCGCAGAAUUGGCCUGAAAAUGAAGGCCUUUUUGAUGCUUGGCAGGCGGGAAGUUUUUGAUGGUACUGUGCAAAACAUGCACUUUCAUUGGAAGCAUCGAGAAUUGGUCAAAAUUGUUGUGAAGGGAAAGACCUUUGAACAAGUUAAACAUAUUGCAAUCUCUCUAGAAGCUGAGAGUGGAGGUGUGCUCAUUGCACUUGACAAGACAACAAAAGGAUAUUCAAUCAUUUUCUACCGUGGUAAGAACUAUAAAAGGCCCCAAGUUUUAAAGCCACGGAACCUAUUGACAAGGAGAAGAGCAAUGGCACGGUCCAUUGAGCUCCAAAGACGAGAGGCAUUAAACCAUCAUAUCUCAGUUCUGCGACACAAGAUCUGGAAGUUGAAAUCACAGCUUGUACAGAUGAGGGCUGCUGGGAGAAAACAGGAUGCAGAGUUACUCCAAACAGUUGAGGACGAUUUGUCUUCAGAUGAUGAUAAUAUACAGGAUGAAGGGGAUGAAGCUUACCUGCAAACUUACGGCAGCGACGAUGAGGACGAUGCGGACGAUGAUUCCAAUGAAUAUCUCUGA
rnacentral:rRNA from 1 species